rnacentral:lncRNA from 1 species
GCGUUCAUAAUGAUUCGUUCUUUGAAACGCACGUCUUGCUUACAAACUUUCAAUCAUGUUAUCUAUCUCCAAGUAUGUUAAUAAUUCUUACUUAUACCCUUUUCAGUUUUUUGCAUUGCAACGUAGUUAUAAGAACGAGCAAGGUUCUGGAUAACCAGAUAAAGCUUUUAUUGUUUAAAUCAAUUGAUGGCUUCUUAGGAAUAACGAGAAAGCAACAACAACGACACACAUAACGAGACGACAUGAAUAGGACAUCAUAAAGUUUCCAACAAUAUCGGUUAUCAGACAACAUAUCAUGGUCUAAAAAUAUUGUAAACAAAUUAUGCAUAUAUACCACCAAAGAUGUGCAAUUCAAAUAAAAAAAUACAUCAAAACAUGAAUGAUAAAAUUUCAUGAAUAACCUCUAUACAAUGCUUGCUUUCAUUAUGUGAUCAUAAAUGGUACCCAUUAGAUACACGGUCUUGGUAAGAGUUAUUCGAGGUUCAAAUUUGAAGUUGGUAAGAAAACACGAAGGCGUUUUAACGGCAACAGAAAUUAAUAACUAACCAAUAAAUUGACUUGACUAACAAAAAUAUCUACCCUUUGCAGCUGGGUUGCUUAUCGAAUAGUUGUUGAUCAC